GUGCUCACUUUGGCAGCACAUAUACUAGAAUUAGAAUGAUACAGAGAAGAUUAGCACAGCCCCUGCACAAGGGUGAAAAGUGGCAUACAGCAAAAUAACAGAUGAAU
ensembl:snRNA U6 U6 spliceosomal RNA